rnacentral:rRNA from 1 species
GACGAACGCUGGCGGCGUGCUUAACACAUGCAAGUCGAACGGUGACCCUCGGAGCUUGCUUCGGGGUGAGCAGUGGCGAACGGGUGAGUAACACGUGAGUAACCUGCCCCUGACUCUGGAAUAAGCGCUGGAAACGGCGUCUAAUACCGGAUACGACACGCCUCCGCAUGGGGAGCGUGUGGAAAGUUUUUCGGUCUGGGAUGGACUCGCGGCCUAUCAGCUUGUUGGUGAGGUAAUGGCUCACCAAGGCGAUGACGGGUAGCCGGCCUGAGAGGGCGACCGGCCACACUUGGACUGAGACACGGCCGAGACUCCUACGGGAGGCAGCAGUGGGGAAUAUUGCACAAUGGGCGAAAGCCUGAUGCAGCGACGCCGCGUGAGGGAUGACGGCCUUCGGGUUGUAAACCUCUUUCAGCAGGGAAGAAGCGAAAGUGACGGUACCUGCAGAAGAAGCACCGGCUAACUACGUGCCAGCAGCCGCAGUAACAC